GUCUGCCAGGCACUGCCGUUCAAGCCCACUGCGGCUUUGGCAGGCCCGACUCUUCCAUUGAAUAUUCACAUGUCAU
rnacentral:lncRNA from 1 species